AUGUUGUCUGUAGCUCUGCUGCUGCUGCUGCUGGCAGCUGGAUCCUGUGUGAACAGCGAGCAGUUGAAUCAACCAGCGUCUCUGACUGUCCAGCCAGGACAACCACUGACCAUCACCUGUCAGGUCUCUUAUUCUGUUAGUAGCUACUGGACAGGCUGGAUCAGACAGCCUGCAGGAAAAGGACUGGAGUGGAUUGGAUAUAUAUAUACUGGGGGCACAUCCUACAAAGAGUCACUAAAAAACAAGUUCAGUAUCUCUUUAGCAGCUUCCAGUAAGACAGCGACUCUAACAGGACAGAAUAUGCAGCCUGAAGACUCAGCUGUGUAUUAUUGUGCCCGAGGCACACAAGUUACUGUGACGUUACAGCACUGUGACACUUAUUUUGACUACUGGGGAAAAGGCACGGUGGUCACGGUCUCAUCAGCCACACCAAAGGCCCCUACUGUGUUUCCUCUGGAGCAAUGUGGCCCCGAGACCGGAGACACCGUGACUCUCGGCUGCCUCGCCACCGACUUUACACCCGCCUCACUGGGCUUCAGAUGCACCAACGCCGAGGGAGUUGCCCUGCCUGAUGUACUUCAGUACCCCGCUGUUGAGAAAAACAGGGCUUACUUUGGAGUCAGUCGGGUCCGCGUGCAGCGAGACUACUGGGACGCCAGGAAAGUUGUCAACUGUGUUGUUGAGCAUUCAGCAGGACAAAAACAAUGCCGCCUUCAGAAGAAAGUCGAGUUUCAUCAGUUGCCAACUCUUAACGUGUUGAUCUCUCCUGAGAUGAAGAAUGAGAGAUCAACUUCCUUCUCCUGCUUUGCCACUGAUUUUUCACCAAAUGCUCAUGAAAUCAAAUGGCUCAGAGACGAUGAGGAAAUCCGUGACAAAAUCUCUGAGAUCCAGACCUCCUUUGAGCCCAAACGUAAUGAGAAUGGGACUUUGUACAGUGUCGUAAACUAUCUCCAGGUUGAUAAAAGUGCUUGGACGGAAUCGGAAGCCAAGAUUACAUGUGUGUUUAAGCAAAAAGAAGAAAAUGUCAACAAAUCUGUGGACUAUAAUACCACACCGGGUUCCACCACAUGUAAUGACCCAUGUGUAUAUGUUGACAUUGAGAUCUUGCCCCUCAGUUUGGAAGACCUGUUUCUGAACAAAAAAGCUAAACUUGUGUGUGAAGUGCUGGAAAAACAAGGAUCCGUUGAGUCAGUUGAGUGGCAGGACAAAGAUGGGAAACCUUUAAACAAGGACAGUCAUAAGAGCAGCCGAGGACCCCACAACCUCUACAGAAUUGAAGUGGAUGUCCUGUUUGAGGAGUGGAGCGAGGGGAUGGAAUAUUAUUGUGUUGUUGAACACAACGACUUAAUUAAAGCUGUAAGGGAGCGUUUUCAAAGGGACAAAGACAACCAGUGGGGUCACACCACAGAGACGGAGCAAGAUAGCACCGGGAAAACAGCCAUUACCUUCAUCAUCCUCUUCCUCAUCACUCUGUUCUAUAGCGUCGGAACCACUGCCAUCAAGAUUAAAUGAAAACGUGGAAAAGGUGACGAGUGAUUGCUUUAAAAAGUAAUGUUUCACAUGUUGGUUCUUUGUCUACUCAUUUGUUCAGAAUGUAAGUGUUCACAACCGUCAUUUCUCUCAUUCACUAUGUCGGCUUUGUAUUCUCAUUGAAAAUAAUAAAUGUGUAA